rnacentral:lncRNA from 1 species
AUGCUCGGGGGGACCGGAGAGGGGGGGUCCGGCGGCGUUUCCCUCGUGGAUCCGCACGGGAACACCCCACGGAGGCCGAGGGGAGAACGGGGGGGGUCCCGGUCACAGUGGACCCCCGGAGUCACCCCAGCACCGGCCCCUCGGCAGACCCUCCCCCCGGGAAUCCCCGGGACCGGAUCUGGGGGCUCAGGGGCUGACGCGGGGACCCCCCAGACCCUGGGGGUGGCCGUUCCCACGGGUGGAGCCCCCCCAAAGGGGCGCCCCCCCCGGGAUUAUUAUUUAUUUUCCCGAAAUAGGCGUUUCGGGAAGAAUAUUUCAUCCAUGUCCCGCUGUUCCAGCCGGGAUCGAUCCCUUCCCGCCCCCAUCCCCAUCCCGAAACGGAACCGGAGCCCCCCGCCCCAGCUCACCCCGACUUCCAGGCGCCUUUUCCCCGCAAAACCCCAAACAAAUAAUCAAGUAAUCCUAAUAAACAUCCCAAAGAAGGCCGGAUUUCAGCCCGUUCCGGCCCUGCUGCGAGGCUGGGAUGAGGCUGGGGCCAUCCCACCGGGCGGUUCCGGACCCCGCGGCUGCUCCGGGCGGGAUUUGGAGCCGGGGGGGACGCGGGGCCCCCCCAGAUGGGAACAGCUGGCGGCUAAUCCGGCGGGAAGAGCGGGAGGAGGAGCGGGAGGAGGAGAUCCCAAAAUCUGGCAAACAGCGAGCGACGGAGCCGGGCGGGAGACGGGAAGCUGAGGCACGGCAGAGCAUCCAUGAACGCAUCCUGUUAUCCCGUUGUUAUCCCGUUAUCCCGUUGUUAUCCCGUUGUUAUCCCGCCGCGCCCGCGGAGGCGAUCCCCGCGCCGCUCCCGUUUUUCCCUACCUUUGUCUUCCCGGUCAUCCUGCGGAUGAAGCUGAGGGUCCUGUCCAGGGGGGUCCCUUCCCGGCCCGGGGGGGUCCCCGCCUCCCCCGCCAGCCGCUCGCGGCUCCCGGCGCUGCAGGAGGAGGAUCCCGCUGGACAAUCCCGCCGGACAAUCCCGCUCUGUCCCCGCCGGGAACGGGGAGGAGCGUGCGCG